rnacentral:tRNA from 1 species
GGAUAUAGCUCAGUUGGUUAGAGCACCAGAUUGUGGCUCUGGGGGCCGUGGGUUCGAAUCCCAUUAUC